GUGAGGAACACGUGAGUAAUCUACCCUCAAGUUGGGAAUAACCCUGGGAAACUAGGGCUAAUACCGAAUGUGUCCCGGCCUCCGCAUGGAGGCUUGGAUAAAGAUUUAUUGCUUGAGGCUGAGCUCGCGUCCCAUCAGCUUGUUGGCGGGGUAACGGCCCACCAAGGCUAUGACGGGUAGCUGGUCUGAGAGGAUGGUCAGCCACACUGGGACUGAGACACUGCCCAGACUCCUACGGGAGGCUGCAGUCGAGAAUCUUCCGCAAUGGGCGAAAGCCUGACGGAGCGACGCCGCGUGAGGGAUGAAGGUCUUCGGAUUGUAAACCUCUGUCACGAGGGAAGAAUAAAUGACAGUACCUCGGGAGGAAGCCACGGCUAACUACGUGCCAGCAGCCGCGGUAAUACGUAGGUGGCAAGCGUUGUUCGGAUUCACUGGGCAUAAAGGGUCCGCAGGGGGUUUGUCGUGUCUGAUGUGAAAUCCCAAGGCUCAACCUUGGAACUGCAUUGGAAACUGGCGAACUGGAGUGUCGCAGAGGAAAGUGGAAUUCCCGGUGUAGCGGUGGAAUGCGUAGAUAUCGGGAGGAACACCUAAGGCGAAGGCAGCUUUCUGGGCGACUACUGACCCUCAGGGACGAAGGUAUGGGAGCAACGGGAUUAGAUACCCG
rnacentral:rRNA from 1 species